CGCGUAGGCGUCCAGGAAAGUUAUUUGUUAAAGCCUCCGGCUUAACCGGAGAGAUGCAAGUAAAACUAUCUGGAUAGAGUUUAAGAGAGGAAAAUGGAAUUCCUGGUGUAGCGGUGACAUGCGUAGAUAUCAGGAGGAACAUCAAUGGCGAAGGCAGUUUUCUGGCUUAAAACUGACGCUGAGGCACGAAAGCGUGGGGAGCAAACAGGAUUAGAUACCCUGGUAGUCC
rnacentral:rRNA from 1 species